rnacentral:rRNA from 1 species
UACGGAGGAGGCAAGCGUUGUCCGGAUUUACUGGGCGUAAAGAGCGCGCAGGCGGUCGUGCAAGUCGGGUGUGAAAGCCCCCGGCUCAACUGGGGAGGGUCACGCGAUACUGCUCGACUCGAAGGCAGGAGAGGGAAGUGGAAUUCCCGGUGUAGUGGUGAAAUGCGUAGAUAUCGGGAGGAACACCAGUGGCGAAGGCGACUUCCUGGCCUGUUCUUGACGCUGAGGCGCGAAAGCUAGGGUAGCAAACGGG